rnacentral:rRNA from 1 species
CAAAAGCGUAUAUUAAAGUUGUUGCAGUUAAAAAGCUCGUAGUUGAACCUUGGGCUUGGCUGGCCGGUCCAUCUUUUUUGAUGCGUACUGGACCCAGCCGAGCCUUUCCUUCUGGCUAGCCCUUUGGCGAACCAGGACUUUUACUUUGAAAAAAUUAGAGUGUUCAAAGCAGGCCUUUGCUCGAAUAUAUUAGCAUGGAAUAAUAGAAUAGGACGUUAUGGUUCUAUUUUGUUGGUUUCUAGGACCAUCGUAAUGAUUAAUAGGGACGGUCGGGGGUAUCAGUAUUCAGUUGUCAGAGGUGAAAUUCUUGGAUUUACUGAAGACUAACUACUGCGAAAGCAUUUACCAAGGACGUUUUCAUUAA